GAGUGUUUGUAGAGUUUUGGUUUGUAGAAAGGAAAAAAAAAACAAUAUAUAAAGAAGGAUGAAAAGAGGGAGGUAAAACGAAUUCAUUAAGAGGGUUUUGAUCGAGGGGAGUAAAGUUGAGAAUUGAUUGUUUAGAAGUGGGUUGAUUAAAUCUGAGUUUCUGUGAUCUUCAAUCAGAGAAGACGAAGUGUUAGAGGUCACGAUGAUUGAUUUAUUGAUCGUAGGUU
rnacentral:lncRNA from 1 species